GACGAACGCUGGCGGCGUGCCUAAUACAUGCAAGUAGAACGCUGAAGAGAGGAGCUUGCUCUUCUUGGAUGAGUUGCGAACGGGUGAGUAACGCGUAGGUAACCUGCCUUGUAGCGGGGGAUAACUAUUGGAAACGAUAGCUAAUACCGCAUAACAAUGGAUGACACAUGUCAUUUAUUUGAAAGGGGCAAUUGCUCCACUACAAGAUGGACCUGCGUUGUAUUAGCUAGUAGGUGAGGUAAUGGCUCACCUAGGCGACGAUACAUAGCCGACCUGAGAGGGUGAUCGGCCACACUGGGACUGAGACACGGCCCAGACUCCUACGGGAGGCAGCAGUAGGGAAUCUUCGGCAAUGGGGGCAACCCUGACCGAGCAACGCCGCGUGAGUGAAGAAGGUUUUCGGAUCGUAAAGCUCGGUUGUAAGUCAAGAACGGGCGUGAGAGUGGAAAGUUCACACUGUGACGGUAGCUUACCAGAAAGGGACGGCUAACUACGUG
rnacentral:rRNA from 1 species